GAGUUUGAUCAUGGCUCAGAACGAACGCUGGCGGCAGGCCUAACACAUGCAAGUCGAACGGGAAGCUGGUCUUCGGACCAGUGGAGAGUGGCGCACGGGUGAGUAACGCGUGGGAAUUUACCUUUUGGUGGGGGAUAACCCCGGGAAACUGGGGCUAAUACCGCAUACGCCCGGUCCUUAUGGAUUGGGGAAAGAUUUAUCGCCGAAAGAUGAGCCCGCGUCCGAUUAGGUAGUUGGUGUGGUAACGGCGCACCAAGCCUUCGAUCGGUAGCUGGUCUGAGAGGACGAUCAGCCACACUGGGACUGAGACACGGCCCAGACUCCUACGGGAGGCAGCAGUGGGGAAUAUUGGACAAUGGGCGCAAGCCUGAUCCAGCCAUGCCGCGUGAGUGAAGAAGGCCCUAGGGUUGUAAAACUCUUUCACCGGUGAAGAUAAUGACGGUAGCCGGAGAAGAAGCCCCGGCUAACUCCGUGCCAGCAGCCGCGGUAAUACGGAGGGGGCUAGCGUUGUUCGGAAUUACUGGGCGUAAAGCGCGCGUANGCGGUUUGUUAAGUUGGGCGUGAAAGCCCGGGGCUCAANCCC
rnacentral:rRNA from 1 species